rnacentral:tRNA from 1 species
GGGAUAUGGCUCAGUUGGUAGAGCGCCUCGUUCGCAACGAGGAGGCCAGCGGUUCGAAUCCGCUUAUCUCC